UGACUCAGUUGGUAGAGCAUGGCGCUUGCAACGCCAGGGUUGUGGGUUUGAUUCCCAC
rnacentral:tRNA from 1 species